ensembl:lncRNA
GGGGACAGAUCAAACUCUUAAGCCUGGUAAGGGUAACGAUGGUGACUAUGGCCAUUUGUAAUCUUUAAACUGUUUUGCAAGUGAGGCAGAGAAGCUGCCAGAACCUGUAGGUAGAGCUUCCUCUCAAAUACUCUGUGUGUGUGUGUGUGUGUGUGUGUGUGUGUGUGUGUGAGACAGAGUUGGGACCGGUUGCCUGGAAACCCCCCAGACCUUCCUACAAGAGUCAAAUCACACUCAGAGACACCAAAAAUCCCACCAAAAGUCCCAGUGGAAAUAGCUGUCUGUGAGAGGGACUUUUUGGGACCGUCCUAAUUUGUGUUGUGUUUGAAGGUAAACAAUGAUCCAUCGUUCAGCUGGGGAACUAAUGGGACUUGAUAAGAGGAACACUUUGAAGCUCCAAAGGGCCCUUUGUGCCGUCUCAGGCCUUUGUACACCAUGAAGGAUGCUGGGAGUGUAGUGGGGACUGGGUCUGGGCGUGGGUGUCUAUGAAUGCAAUGACUGGCCUGUCUUAUUUAAAGAGUGUUUGUGUGUACGUGUGUGUGUGAAGUCUAGGAGCAAUGACCAGCCGUUUUGAAUGAAUCAUUUUGAAUGAAUGUAUGUGUGCUUGUGCGUGUGUGUGUGUUUUCGCUGUAUGACUGUGCUCCAGGCACUAUAAUGAAGGCCAUUGUAUCUGAACCCCAAACACUACCACAGUACUGCACUCCAACUGCACCCCAAGCACCACUCCCCCUGACCCCAAUCUGCCAGCAAGCACCACACACACACACACACACACACACACACACACACACACACACACACACACACACACACACACACACACACACAACUGCUCCACCUCUUCCUCCCCUCCUCUGCAGAUCCCUCUCUCCUCUCCCUCUUUUCACAUCACUCUCUUAUUUUAAUGACUCUAUUCUCAGUGGCUUCACUUGCUCCCCAAUAUACAGGAAGCGAAAGAUGGAGAGAGAGGGAACCGCUUCCAUUGGUUUGAGUCCAGAUAAGUUCACUGCUGACUUUGUUUGCGUGUGUAUGUGUUUGCGUGUGUCUGUGUGUGUGUGUGUGUGUGUGUGUGUGAGACGUUAGGGCAGAGCAAUAUAAGUUUCACCUCGGUCUGCCUCCAGCCAUCUGACUGCAUUUGAAAACCGUGGCCAAUAGAUUAUUAAAAAUAAACUUGGUUUAUGCCCUGUGCUAAGCAGGAUGUAAGGUUGCCACAUUCAGCCUCACUGUCUCUAAGGGGCAUCACCGAGGGGGGAUAUAGGGGCUGGGUCUACCACUAGCAGAGCUACCAUCUUAUAUCAUAAUGGUUUAAACUCAAGUCCAUGUGCACUCUUCAAAGUGGCUACGUAUUUAAGUCACACUAUGGUCUUUAUGGUCUGACAGCUAUGGUGACAAUAGACGCUCCAAGAGAAAAUGUCUUCCAUGUGGUCUUCCAUAAUGUAUGACUAAACUUCCUUUACUUUCCCCCUUGCAGUGUCAAGAGGAGCUGGACUUAGGAAUGCAAGGCAUGCUUAGCCAGACCACUUAACCAAUGAGACACUCACUGGUCAGCCAGGCCACUUAACCAAUGAGACACUCACUGGUCAGCUUAUUGAUAGCUCACUGGAAAGCUUAUUGAUACCUCACUGGACAUCUUAUCGGAGGCUCAGUGGUCAUCUAAUAAGAAUCCCAUUGGCCAGCUAUACAGAAGGACAUUGAUCAGACAAUAAGCUGAUUAGUGAGUUAAGGCUCAUUGGCCUACUUGACAAAUACUUAUUUGUGACACCAAUGGGACGUACCAGGUGUGUUACUGGACAUGGGACAGAGGUGCCUGCAGAGGCUGUGUACAGCUAAGCCAAGAGCCUUAACUUAGUAGGGGUCCUGAAUGACAGGACUCAAGACAGGACUCAGUACUAAGUACUAAAUAUGGAGCCUUGUUCUACAGUGUGUGUUAGCUUCUUUGACACUCAUUCUGUUUCUAUGAACAUGGUAGCAUACUGGGGCAGAAAUCCUGCUUGCCUUUUUGCAACAGUUCUGUGGCGGGGACGGGGCCGGGGAGGUAAAACCUUCAUUUGCUGAAGUGGGUGAGAGAGGCUGUUAGCUGACAUGUAGGUUUGAACGAGCUCAGUGGUGAAGUUUCAACACGAGUCACAUGAGGCUGGAAUUCAUAAAGCCGAGAUGCCUUACGUGUUAAAGCAGGGGCCUGAAAUGAGUGAAUCCAGGGCUUAAAGUCAGACAAGGGUGAGAUGCAAAGCCUCUUCUCUGCAGAUGGAGGUGCUCUAGUUUUCAGCUUUUCUGAGACUAAAUUUCACACCCUCAGCAAGGCGAAAUAAAGAGGCCCCUUUCUUUCUCAAACACACACACACACACACAUACACAAACACACAUCUAUUAGACACAGCUCAUUUAGUAGGUGCAUUUUUUUAAUCCUUUGUGAGGGCCAGAUUCAUGAGAAAGAAAAAUGGUUUUAGAGUAACAGUCAAUUUAAUUAGAGACCUUUUUACCUUACUGCAAUCUGGCUAAUCUCUAAAAGCAUGACUAUGCAAAUUCACUUCACAGAAGUUCAUGCAAUGUCAGGAGAGAUUUCCUUGGGCAAACUGACUGACUUGUAGUAGCAUACUGGCUAGGGUGCAUCAAAAUACACAGUUCCAGCAUAUUGAUCUGUCUGGGUGCUCAAAGUGUUACCAUCCAUGCAAAAACAAUAAAUGCAAAAUAUUUUUGCGAUAUGUGGUGUUCUAGAGGUGGAACGGCACAUUAGCUUUUACCCAUUGGGGGAGCCAUGAUAAAGCAGACAAUUUUCGAUAUCGUUCUCUGGUGCCACUUUGGGCUUUGGUUUCAAUGUUUGUUUUCAAGAAGAACUAGAAUAUGCAUGUCCUGAAGGAAAUACCAGUGAAAAAAAUUCAAAAUUUAAGAAAAAAGGCCCAUUUUCAUAUUUUUUACAUGCUGUGUUCCACCUCUAAAUCUCAAUUCAUUUUCCCAAAACUUUGCAAAAGUCAUUUUUAUGUGUGUCCGAACAAAAUGCAACCUCAGACGGGUUGAUAUGUUGAGAUUUAAUUUUUGCAUUGCAAUUUGAUGCACCCUAAUACUGGCAUAUAUGUUUAGAAGUACACAGCCACAAACGCACAAGACACGGGGUAGAGAGAAAGUACCUUUAGUUGUGAGACGUUCGUUCUACAUGCACUGUCUCCAUCACUGUCUUGGGCUUUAGUUAUACUCGGUUGCGGACGCACGCCCGGACAGUUGGGGACACCACAGACGCAUAAUGGUUCUUAUCAUACUUUCUAGAGUGUACUUGAAGCCCGCUUACUAAGGGGACAUUCUAAAACGCUGAACGUGAAAAGGCUCAACACGGCUUAAUGUUAAUACUCAGGAUUUUGGUGUGAGUGUAAGUGUGUAAGUAUAAGUGACCAAGAGAAAUUUGGUCAUCAGUGAUCACUGUUUUGGAACAUUAACCAUGAAAAGGCUUAUCGUGGAUUACAAUGUCCCCUUGGUAGGUUUCCCUGUAGCGAUGUGGCUGCGUGCCCAAGACUGCGUGGUCAAGAAUAAUUGGAGGGUAAACGGAUGUCUCCAGAGAGCCGUGGGUACAUCUUCUGAUGACGACACUGACGUCACUCUGACCCUAGCAGACACUUGGGCAAAGAAUAAUACUAACCUUACACUCACACACACACACACAGCACUUAUCCAGUCAACAUCUUACUUUCUACACCCAAGCUAUUCCCUGAUGUUAAGGGCUCACUCACUACCAUUAUCUAAUAAAUAUUUCAUCUAGACAUGCACACAUGCACUCACGUGUGUGCAUACACUCCCAAAUACACAGACCCAUGAUCACACACACACACACACACAUGCACUCACGUGUGUGCAUACACUCCCAAAUACACAGACCCAUGAUCACACACACACACACACAUGCACUCACGUGUGUACAAACACUCCCAAAUACAUAGAUCCAUGAUCACACACAGGGGUGGACAGUUACCAAGUACAUUUACUUGAGUGCUGCACUUUUUUCUGCAUUCAUUAUUUUGGAAACGUAUGACUUUUACUGCACUACAUUUCAAAGACAAAUAUUGUACUUCUGACUCCACUACAUUCCUAUGAAGGUUCACAUUACUUGUUUCUUUGAAGUAUAGCUUUGAAGUCAGCGGAUGAAUUUCCUUUUUUUUCUGAAAUGCGAUAGGCUAUACGCUGUGUUCAUUAGUGGAGAAAAAAAAACAAAAAUCACUCCCAUGAUGUCAGUCAAGUUCAAAGUGCUUGCUGUAUUUUUUUUUGCACAGUUCAAUAUGAACUUGGCAGUGGAAACGAUGGAUGCAGCAGAUCUGCUAGAUUUCUCACCAGUACUUAGAUCUGAAAUCCAUGUUUGAGAUUUUUUAAAUGUAAAAGGAUUCAUAUUGUUUUAAAUGUUUGCUCUGUUUACCGCGAACAAACUUGAUCACGGCCCACAACCAUUUGUCCAACCUGAGAAAGCAUGUCGAGGUACAUAUGUAAACAUUUAUUCUAGAUAAACAUUUUAAACUAAGUUGUCUGUGCUUAUAGUAGUUGCAGUUCUUUUAUGGUAUGGUUUUACGGAUUUGCCCAUCAAAUUGUCGUAUGGGGACUGGGUCCUGUGUGAAUCCACUGCUGGCGCAGUCAGCUAGCAAAAAUGGCUAAAAGUUAAUUUUACUGACUCCGUCCUUUCAGAAAUAUAUGCUUUAAUCUUGUCAGAUAAACACAAUACUAUUAGAAGGGAUGGGUACCCGAAACCUGGUAAUAAACAGGCCUCAAGGCUGUAGUAUUGAUUGAAGGCCGUAGUAUUGAUGAGCUCUGAUGUUACCGUUAACAUACUUUUUAUUACCACGCUGCAGCAUCUCCCCCAAGUACACAUUUGACUGAACAAGUUUCACUUGUAUUGAAGUAAUAUUUAACCAGGAGUAUAUAUACUUUGGCAGUAAGUAAAGGAGUUGUGUACUUUGUCCAGCUCUGGUCACCCACUUGACAGCACCGCACACAGGGGGACGGUCUCUCCCUGUAUGACUAGCUUUGCCUGGGACACUGUACAACCAGUACUGAACAACCUCAGCCAUGUCUUCUUCAUACAAUUCACUGAGUUUGUGUGUGUGUGUCUGUGUGUCUGUGUGUGUGUGUGUGUGUGUGUGUGUGUGUGUGUGUGUGUGUGUGUGUGUGUGAGUAGUGGUUGGGGUGGGGGUGGGGGGGGUGCUCUUGUGGUGAAAAAUGUACUGUAGCAAAAAAAAGAGGGUAAAGUCUGAAAUUGACACUAACAACUGAUGUGUACAACGCUACGCACGCACAAGAAUAAUCUGUUUCGGGGAAAAAGCUACACUGGUCAGAAAACAAACAACUUAACCAGUACAGUCUCAAAGCAGAACAAAAUGUUUCCACACAGUUAACACAAAACAAGUCAAUGCAGCUUUCGUUACUUUCAAAGUUCUAUAGCAGGGCGCCACUUAGAUCCAUCUAAGCUCUUAAAAGGUGCUGUACACAAGAUAUUUGGACAAAUAUCAAGAACACCGAUAUGAUGAGGCCGAUACCAAUAUGGACCGAUAAGUGUCAAAGGGGUCUGGUAGUGGCAGAUACAUCGGAUCAGAUACAAACAUACUGUAUCUGUCCAUCGGCAAAACUUAUAUAUCUGCUAUCUCUACCUUGAACCACUAAUUACACUCAUGGGCAUGUCUCAUCCUCACACCCUCCUAACACAGGUGAGGUAAAUAUGUCAAGAUCAGUUUAGACAUGCUUAAAGACCCUCCGGUUCCAAAGAAUGCAAAAGAUUUCUCUACAUGUUUUCAGUCAUUUGCAGACAUUGUAAAAUACCUCUUCACCAUUCUCAUCACCUGUUGUGUGUACCAUACAAGAAACGCUGGACCACCGGGAGUUGAACUGUCAAAGUCCUGCUAUGUACUGGGAUUUAAGUGGUCAGCUGUACCGGCAGGGAUUAGGCUAUGUGGAGUCCCCCGGAAGAAAGGUUCUGAAGUUAUCCAUUAUCAACUCGACUGCAUUUAGAGCUUUGGCAGCCUUUCAGAGAUCAGAGGCCUCCGGUGCAGAAAUCCACAACAUUAAACACAUCAUCUUAAUGACGUACGAGUGACGAUCAUUUUAGAUAUCAGAUUACAUUUAACGGCAAGUGCGCAGAGAAGGAGAAAGAGGUGGGUGGAAGUGAGAGAGCGCAUGCGAGAAAGAGAGAGAGAGAGAGAUGUAUUUGCUGUGCAGUAAAAUCCCAAGAUUACAACCUAAGAGAUGAGCUAUUGCUGGAAACUGAAAUCCAUCGUUGUCAAGGAAGCGCAAGCCUGACCCUACAAUGGAGUGUAAACAAAAGGGCUGCAGAAAGGAGCUUAGGUGUCCUUCCUCCUGCCUGUCCUCAAAAGGUCCGUAGGUGUCCUUCCUCCUGCCCGUCCUCAAAAGGUCUGUAGGUGUCCUUCCCCCUGCCUGUCCUCAAAAGGUCUGUAAGUGGCCUUCCUUUAGCGAAACCACUUUAGUGCAUGAGAGUUUGUUUUUUAACUGUGCUUUAGUGACCUGACCUCCAUUUCCCCCUGGAGGGACACAAUAACAGUUAGCUCCAGGUGAAUGCCUCGCCCGUGUUGUAACAGUGAACACAAAUGGCAGUAAUAUGAUGCCUGAGUGCUCGUCUCCAAAACCACAAAGCGCAAAGCAAGAGGAAGUGGGCAUGCUCAAAUCUUUCAUUAUUUUUCAAUCAUUCCGUUUCGUUUCAGGUUUUCCUUUUGUUUCUGUCCUUUGACAUGAGCGAUGGCUGCUUUGUGCUCGCCGCAUUCACUGUAACUUGAUCAAGUGUGACCCCUCCAGGCUACCAUAGCAAGUCUUGCUUUUCUUCCAUGGUAGUAUUCCAGGCUGUGAGCGAUUCUAGAUUUGGGUAAGUGACACUUCAUGCACGCACCCGGGGACACAACACCUCUCCUUAUUUAAAAACAGGCACACACAGAAACAAGUAUUUGCACACACAAAUGUGUACACACACACACACACUCUCCCUCUCUCUCUCUCUCUCUUAUACGCAUAUACACGUUGGUAUGCCCUGUAUGGUGUCUAGCACAAAUUGUGGUUCUUGUACAGGAGGAACUAAACGUUCCAAAGAGUCCAGUGGCAUCGGAUGCAUGUCUGGCCCUCAGCUGCACACGGUCAGCACACAGAGACCGCAGAGGCCUCCGUGUUCUGGAAGGGGCUCAUGGAGAGGACCCCGUCAUGUCUGAGGGCAUGGCCAAGCAGGGCCUGCUCAAAAAGAGCUGUGUUCCACACGGACAAUGGCACUCUGUUCACAAACUUCCAGGCCACAGUGACAAUUUUAUGUAAUCUCUCUUUUCCUCUCCUCGGUGUUCAAUCAUCCUCCGUUUAUAUUAUGCAAGCAAAUGCUUCGCAUUUUUGAUACGCAUCUUUUUGAUGCUAGUAAUUUCUCUCUGUCCCUGUGUUCUAGCAAUUAUAAUUUGUGCACGCGCGCACACACACACACACACACACACACACACACACACACACACACACACACACACACACACACACACACACACACACACACACACACACACUCACAAAGACACAUACACACACAACUAGUUAAUUAUAUUACAGGCCAGUGACUGUGGGCACCCCUUUAGAAAGGGGGCAAUGGCAGAAUGGUUGGCAUUGUCCAACUGCAGAAUGACUGACUCAUAGGAAACAGUGGGGAGAAAGAGGGAGCGAGAGAAGAGAAGAAAAAUGGGGACAGAGAGAAUGUGGGGUCCAGAGCGAGACAGAGCGAGACGGUGAAAGAGAGACAGUCAUUUGUUCAAAUGUAAACCAGCGGGUGAGAGGCAGAGAGCUCGAGGGAAGAGCUAGAUGGAUUUAUGUGUCCACAACCAGAGGACUGCUCCAGCUGGGCCAAACAAACCAGGCAAAACACCUAAAGGGACUGUGCACCUGUCCCCAAGGUCUGCCAUUUAAAUACACCUACACAGGUGCUGAUUCAUAUACACGCACACAAACAAACUGACCUCAAAUGACAUCAUUACAGUUUAAUCCAAAACAACUAACGUCUCGCCAAAAAGAACCUGCAGUUACCCUCAAGGCAGAGGAGCCUAGUAUUCCAAACCAUGCCCUCCGGAAUAUAGGCUUACACACACACACACACACACACACACACACACACACACACACACACACACGCACACACACAAUAGGCAGGGCCAACAUACAAGCUUUUUAUAUAAAAUCAGACACACACACACACACACACACACACAAACAAGGCUGGGCCCAUAUACAAACCUUUCCCAGACACACACACACACACACACACAGACACACACGGUAGCCCCACAUGCUAAUACUACAUUAGACAUAUAUGUGAGCCACAGCAGUUCCCCUCCCUACAUCUGCUUUGGCUAUUUCUGCCUGCCUGUAAUUGUCCCGACAGCAGCCUCAGUUUGGAGAUCACUAGGAGGCAUUCAUAAACACUUACAGUCUGUCAUUAGUGGCGAGCGGAAUGAUAACGCUCUGAUACAAGGUCACUGAAGAACACACGCGCACACUAGGGAUGGGCAUAAUUAAUCGACGAUCGAUUAAUUGAUCAUUAAGAAUUUCCUCGAUGAAAUAAUUUUUUCAUCGAUUAAAACUAAUGCAUGUUCUGUUGCGUAGUGUGCGUGUAAUUUAUUUAUUUUAGUGCUGUCAAAGUUAACGCGUUAUUCUAUGAGAUUACUGUGGCGGAGAUUAAUGCAAUCAAAUAUUUGAACGCAGUUAACGCAACUUUGUUUACUUCCGGUGCGCGUUGACCCGUGGCACGAAACCGCCCCUUGUCUGCAGUCAGUUAGAUAGAAGAGACCGAGACGGUAGUUGAAGAUGGAGAGAGCUGAGGGAUUGUUGGGCGGAAAGUUUCUGUUUAAGAGGCAAAAUGACAGAACAAUCGACAAAACUAAAGUUGUAUGU